rnacentral:rRNA from 1 species
GAAUAUUGGACAAUGGGGGGAACCCUGAUCAAGCCAUGCGGCGUGGGUGAAGAAGGCCUUUUGGUGGUAAAGCACUUAAAGCGAGGAGGAGGGGCCCUGGGUUAAUACCCAAGCUGCUUGGCCGUAACUCACAGAUGAGGCCCCGCCCAACCGUGUCCCGGCAGCCGCGGUAAGACAGAUGGUGCAAGCGUUAAUCGGAUUUACUGGGCGUAAAGCGCGCGUAGGUGGCCAAUUAAGUCAAACGUGAAAUCCCCGAGCUUAACUUGGGAAUUGCAUUCGAUACUGGUUGGCUAGAGUAUGGGAGAGGAUGGUAGAAUUCCAGGUGUAGCGGUGAAAUGCGUAGAGAUCUGGAGGAAUACCGAUGGCGAAGGCAGCCAUCUGGCCUAAUACUGACACUGAGGUGCGAAAGCAUGGGGAGCAAACA